UACGUAGGGUGCGAGCGUUGUCCGGAAUUACUGGGCGUAAAGAGCUCGUAGGUGGUUUGUCGCGUUGUUCGUGAAAACUCACAACUCAAUUGUGGGCGUGCGGGCGAUACGGGCAGACUGGAGUACUGCAGGGGAGACUGGAAUUCCUGGUGUAGCGGUGGAAUGCGCAGAUAUCAGGAGGAACACCGGUGGCGAAGGCGGGUCUCUGGGCAGUAACUGACGCUGAGACACGAAAGCCGGGGGAGCAAACGGG
rnacentral:rRNA from 1 species